rnacentral:lncRNA from 1 species
GUUCUCCCUCAGGGUUUGCCGGAAGUGAGUGACAAUGGGUUCCUAAACCCAGUGCACGAACACAGAUUCUACACCCAGUACACCAAUGGCACGAUCAACACCUGAUAAAAACGUGUUUUCAUGAAAAUAAAGGCAAAGGAGAAACGAAGCCGAGAAGAGAAGAAGGGAGAAGGAACGUGAAACCUGAAAAUGGAAGUCCUGAAACGAAGGAGAAACGGGAGUGCACUGAAGGAGCGAGCAAAGACGUACACGUCAAAUUGAAGGAGAACCGCCGAAGGCACCUAACGCACUGAUGAAACAGAAGGGAUGGAGCCUUAACGCACUGUGAACGGAUGAGAAGAAGCCCUAAAGUACUGUGAACGGAGGAGAAGGAGCCUAACGUUGAUGAAAUGAAGGACAGGAGCCCUAGCCACUGAUCAAACGGAGGAGAAGCGCGAAUCAAACCAAGGAACAGCGCGAAGAAGCAACGCGAAAAGUGAAAGCGAGGAGCAGCGCGAGAGGAAGCUUGAAGUGAACGUCAAAUUGCAAGCAGAGUAGUAGCGAGAAUAGGUAGUAUUUUAAUCACCAUAGAUAGCGCGUACUAUAAAGAGCGCUAUCUAUUUGGCUUUUAUUAAUAUAUUUUAAAAUUUUAAUUAAAAAAAUAAUAUUAAAUAGAUAUAG